UGUUUCUGUUUAAUGAGAGCAGGACGAUGAUGAGUUUAUCUUUUAUGACAAACCCAGUGGAUAGUUUUCAUAGUUCCUAAUCAUUAUGCCCAUGAUUUUCUGAUGGAACACUAGCUUCCCACGGGUUUCAUGACUGUUGAAGACUGAAGAUAGACUGUCCAAGUACAUUGAGGCUAGAAUGAAAGCUUGUGGCAGGGACCAGGAUGUAAGGUGGCUAUUGUAUGUUAAAACAAAAAGGUAUAUAAUGAUUUAUUUGUUUUAAGUAAUGUUUAUAUGAGGAUAAAAAUAGAGGCUGUAUUGCUGAACAAAAUUGUUACUAAUGUUUUACAAAGACAAUUUAUGAAAGCAAACUAAAAUUUUAAAGAAGAUUGUAUAGAACAAAAAAAAGGCUGCUAUAAAAGAAAAAUAGCAGGGAAUAAAUACAGAACCUAUUGUUGGGGCACUAAGAACCGCACCAUCCAAUAUUUCUGGUUGACAAAAAUUGAGAUUGAUGUAACUUUGCAUGAGGCAGAUUUGAUGAGGUUGCUUUGUUUGAAGCUUUGGGGCACACUUUAGAGAAUUGCACUGAGACCUGAUUGUCAAAAGGAGCACUAUCUGUAUGAUACUGUAUAUUCUAUGUAAGUCUGUGGAGAGCUAGCAAAGUAAGAAAAACAAGCAUUAAGGUAAUUGCCAUGCAGUGGUACCAUUUUUCAAGUAUAUUGUCCAAAGAUGCAUGUCACAAAGUGUUGCUAGUUAAUGUGUUGCAUUGUUACUGAUGCUUUUCUUCUUCUUCUUCUUCUUCCUCACAGAACACCCGAGAUAAUGCAGCAAUAAAGCAGGACCACAUAUGGUUUCUGGUCAGGAAAGGAAUUGCCUUGAUUGUUGGAAACGUAUUUGUUUCACAGAUUGGUGGACAGCACAUUGACUUUUCAUAGGGAAGUACGUUAUAAUGGAAAGAAUGAAGACCUGGAAGACUCUUCACUGAACCUUGUGAUAGAGUAAUACCAACAACCACAACUCCGACUGAUUGGGCUGAAGAUACUUUCCACAAAACAGAGAAUACUACGACAGAGAAACCAAAAUGAAAUUGACAUUACAGUAUGGAACAAGUCGUAUCUUAAAAUAUUUAAACAAGGGAGAAUGUAACCAUCUUACAGUUACUUUCAACUGCAUUACUAUCGCUGGACCCUUUCUUUCAAUAGCCUGGCACCAUCUUUGAUCAGAAACCUAACUGGACCAUCUGUAUCAAUACCAUGUCCUCAAAACCUGGCCAAAUUCUGGGUAAUCUGCAAAGAUCAACCUGCAUCUUGACUUCCCAGUGACUUUCCAUCAACUGAAAGUAAAAGUCAGAGUAUAAUAUAUCAAGGGUUGUGGGGGCAGACAGGAAAGUGGAGUUAGAUCAUAAUCAAAUUGCCAUGAUAAUAAUGAAUGGCCCAGCAAGUGACUCAAAGGGCAGAAUGGCCUGGCUUGCUUCAAAGUCUUAUGUUAUUUAUUGCAGGGCAAAAUAUUGUUAACAUUAAAUAACAAAGGUAGGGCUGAGUAAAAGUGCAAGAUUCUUUUGGUGUGUCUUUGUGAUUUUUGGCCAUUGUGCCCUAAAAGUUCCUCUGUGCCUGAUUUCUUUCAGAAAUGUUCUGCUGUGUUAUGUUUCUUGUCAUAGUCUUUGCUCCUGUAACACUAGCCUUUGAAUUGAAGCUCUUCCAGCAGCAGUUGAUGUUUAUCUCAGCUUGUCUCUCUUGGAAUGGCCUUUAGUGUUUUGGAUUAUGGAGCUGCUUGGGACAAACCUCAACAAAAAGAAACACUUCAUAUUUUUCCAGUCCCUCUUUGCACUUAAGGGACAUUCCUGAAGGAAAUUCAUCAUGAGCAGCUCUGUAAAGCAGGACUCUCGGAUCUGUUCCCAGUGACACCUCAAAUACCGUCUACCGCUGGAUGACAGUCAAUUUGGGAAGUAAGUCAAUAUUAGAGGAGCAAAUAAGGCAGGCAGCAGUCUCUUCCCAAUUUCAAUUACCUCGAAGGCAGUGUAUAAUGGCGUUGAGACACCAAUUGUGCAUGAAGGUUCUGAUUGUGGAAGAAGCCAAGCUAUGUCCACGUGAUUGUUUGAAAGUCCAGGAAAUGAGGCAUUCUGCCAAAUGACCUUGACAAUUUGCCCACAAAAUGAAGUGUCGAGGAACCCACUGUAUCCAUAUCAGCAGGGCAUCAAGCAAAUUAGAUGCGACAUCAAAUUGAUGGACAUCUGUGGGGAAAGGUAUUUUACAUGAGGGACGUGACAUGGAGCAUUCCUCAGCAGCGCAAACAGACUCAUCCUUUGAAACAACAGGAAUAGAUAGAUAGAUCCUCAGCAUUUGGUGUUUGCUAACAAAGGAUCUUUGCACAGCUUGAUGCAGACUUAGACAAAGAAACAUAUUGGUAUGCUCCCCACCCUUGCCUGGAGAUUCGUACAUGAUGUUCCUGUAGGCCAAGUGAUCCUUUGUUGCCUUCACUGUCAGUUUAAACUCUCUGAAAAUGCUGGGGAUUUGGUGCAAAAGGGCUGUAUGUGAGUGAAAAACUUGGAGAAACGAAUAGUCAGGUUGAAAUGGAAAAUGGAUUUGUGGAGCUCACCCUCUUUCCUAUGCAGGUAAGAAUCUGGUCAUUAGCUGUGAGGGUUUUUCUGUGUUGCUGUACUUACUUCAGUCUUGUACCAUACCCAGUUCCCAGAACUGGUGAUCCCAAGUCACUUUCCACAUUGUCUUGAGGUCAACAACAGAUGGUUUCACUGUACAUAUUUUUUAUAUAGAUUUCACUUUGACAUUAU